rnacentral:rRNA from 1 species
CGUAGGAACCGAGCGUUGUCCGGAUUUACUGGGCGUAAAGUGCGCGUAGGCGGUCCGUUAAGUCUCAUGUGAAAUCUCCCGGCUCAACUGGGAGGGGUCAUGGGAUACUGGCAGACUGGAGUGCAGUAGAGGAAAGCGGAAUUCCCGGAGUAGUGGUGGAAUGCGUAGAUACCGGGAGGAACACCAGAGGCGAAGGCGGCUUUCUGGGCUGUAACUGACGCUGAGGCGCGAAAGCGUGGGUAGCAAACCGGAUUAGAUACCCGGGUAGUCCACGCCCUAAACGAUGGAUACUAGGCAUGGGGGGUAUCGACCCCCUCCGUGCCGCAGCUAACGCAAUAAGUAUCCCGCCUGAGGAGUACGGCCGCAAGGCUAAAACUCAAAGGAAUUGACGGGGACCCGCACAAGCAGCGGAUCGUGUGGUUUAAUUCGAUGAUAAGCGAAGAACCUUACCUGGUCUUGACAUCCACGGAAGUUUUCAGAGAURAGAAUGUGCCUUCGGGAACCGUGAGACAGGUGCUGCAUGGCUGUCGUCAGCUCGUGUUGUGAAAUGUUGGGUUAAGUCCCGCAACGAGCGCACCCUUUAUCAUUUGUUGCCAGCGGUCCGGCCGGGAACUCAAAGGAGACUGCCAGUGAUAAACUGAAGAAAGGUGGGGAUGACGUCAAGUCAUCAUGGCCCUUACGACCAGGGCUACACACGUGCUACAAUGGCGCAUACAAAGAGAAGCGACCUCGCGAGAGCAAGCGGUCCUCAUAAAGUGCGUCGUAGUCCGGAUUGGAGUCUGCAACUCGACUCCAUGAAGUCGGAAUCGUUAGUAAUCGUGGAUCAGAAUGCCACGGUGAAUACGUUCCCGGGCCUUG